ensembl:rRNA 5S_rRNA 5S ribosomal RNA
GUCUAUGGCCUUACCAUCCUAAACCCGAUCUCAUCUGAUCUCGGAAGCUAAGCAGGAUCGGGCCUGGUUAGUACUUGGAUGGGAGACUGCCAGGGAAUACCAGAUACUGUGGGCU